GCACUCACUUCAGAAACACAGAUACUAAAUUUGAAAUGAUACAGAGAAUGUUAGCAUGGCCCCUGCACUAGGGUGGUAGAGAGAGAGAGGGAAUAAAACAAG